UGGGGAAUUUUGGACAAUGGGCGCAAGCCUGAUCCAGCCAUGCCGCGUGCGGGAAGAAGGCCUUCGGGUUGUAAACCGCUUUUGUCAGGGAAGAAAUCUUCUGAGUUAAUACCUCGGGAGGAUGACGGUACCUGAAGAAUAAGCACCGGCUAACUACGUGCCAGCAGCCGCGGUAAUACGUAGGGUGCAAGCGUUAAUCGGAAUUACUGGGCGUAAAGCGUGCGCAGGCGGUUUUGUAAGACAGAGGUGAAAUCCCCGGGCUCAACCUGGGAACUGCCUUUGUGACUGCAAGGCUUGAGUGCGGCAGAGGGGGGAUGGAAUUCCGCGUGUAGCAGUGAAAUGCGUAGAUAUGCGGAGGAACACCGAUGGCGAAGGCAAUCCCCUGGGCCUGCACUGACGCUCAUGCACGAAAGCGUGGGGAGCAAACAGGAUUAGAUACCCCUGGUAGUCCACGCCCUAAACGAUGUCAACUGGUUGUUGGGGAAGGUUCCUUCUCAGUAACGUAGCUAACGCGUGAAGUUGACCGCCUGGGGGAGUACGGCCGCAAGGUUGAAACUUAAAUGAAUUGAC
rnacentral:rRNA from 1 species